AACACUGGAAGAGUAGAGGGGACUCAAUCCCCAUCCUUAAGCUUUCCUUGCAGCCAAAAACUAACUAUCUACCUUACUUUCCAUCUCUUUCCAAACAAACCAUUUCCCAGCUCUGUUUGCACAGAGGGAUGCUGAGUUGGGAGAAGCGCUGGUUGGAUCCUUUUGCGCAAAAUCCAAGCCUUCUCUCCCCUCCCUCCCCUGCAGCUGCUGAUCCCUCACAGCGCCCCCUCCCCUCCCCUUCAGAGCUUUGGGGCUAGGGACCUGUCUCUGUACUACUUAGGUGGGAGGGGAGGGUCUGCAAACAGAGGAUAAUGUCAGAUGCCGGGCUCUCUCCUUCACCUGAAGCUCCUCCCUGGCUCCUGAAUCAGGGCUGGUUUCUGUAAGGAAUAGCAGGAACUCUGACAGCAGAAGCUAGAGGAGCCACGGCAGAGGCAGAGGUUGCUUGGAGCCAGAAAAGUCCGGGCACUGGCUUUUCUAGUUACUUCCCAACCUCGUCCCAGCCAUGGACAGCAGCAGCGUCCUGGGGAAUGCCGGCAACUGCACUGAUCCAUUGAGCUCUCCCAGUUGCUCCCAGGCACCUAAUCCUGGUUCCUGGCUCAACUUCUCCCACUUGGAUGGCAAUCGGUCGGACCCAUGCGGUCCGAACAGCACCGAGCUGGGAGGGAGAGACAGCUCUUGCCCUCCGGCUGGCAAUCCUUCCUUGAUCACCGCUGUCACCAUCAUGGCCCUCUACUCCAUCGUGUGUGUGGUAGGACUCUUCGGAAACUUCCUGGUCAUGUAUGUGAUUGUCAGAUACACCAAAAUGAAGACCGCCACCAACAUCUACAUUUUCAACCUGGCUCUAGCAGAUGCCUUAGCGACCAGCACCCUACCCUUCCAAAGUGUCAAUUACCUGAUGGGAACAUGGCCCUUUGGGACAAUUCUCUGCAAGCUUGUGAUCUCCAUAGAUUAUUAUAAUAUGUUCACCAGUAUAUUCACCCUCUGCACAAUGAGUGUUGAUCGCUACAUUGCAGUCUGCCAUCCGGUCAAGGCCCUGGAUUUCCGUACACCCCGCAAUGCCAAAAUCGUCAAUGUGUGUAACUGGAUCAUCUCUUCAGCCAUUGGUCUGCCUGUUAUGUUCAUGGCAACAACAAAGUACAGGCAUGGUUCCAUAGAUUGCACGCUAACAUUCUCUCACCCAGCCUGGUACUGGGAAAACCUGCUGAAAAUCUGUGUUUUCAUCUUUGCCUUUAUCAUGCCUGUCCUCAUCAUUACAGUGUGUUAUGGGCUAAUGAUCUUACGCCUCAAGAGUGUCCGCAUGCUCUCUGGCUCCAAAGAAAAAGACAGGAACCUUCGAAGAAUCACCCGAAUGGUGCUGGUUGUGGUGGCUGUGUUCAUAGUCUGCUGGACUCCCAUUCAUAUCUACGUCAUCAUUAAAGCCUUGAUUACAAUCCCAGAAACUACUUUUCAGACUGUUUCCUGGCACUUCUGCAUUGCUCUAGGUUAUACAAACAGCUGCCUGAACCCUGUCCUCUAUGCCUUUCUGGAUGAAAACUUCAAACGAUGCUUCAGAGAGUUCUGUAUCCCCACUUCCUCCACCAUUGAGCAGCAGAAUUCCACUCGAAUUCGCCAAAACACGAGAGACCACCCCUCCACAGCCAAUACAGUGGAUAGAACUAACCAUCAGAUCAGAGAUCCAAUACCAAACCUUCCCAGGGUGUCUGUAUUCUGACAGCCGUGUCCCUACAGCGCAAAGUCAAGUGGAGAGUUGGCAGUUUCCAAGCUAGAGAAUCUAGAAGCAGAAACUGCUCCUUUGCCCUAAUUGGGUCACAUGCCACUCAGCCCUUCUCAUGUCACUCAGAGCUGAAAACAGCACGUAGAAGAAGGUAACUGCAAACGUGGUCGGAGAAAACAUGGCUGGAGACUCUCAUUUCCUAAGAAGGCAUUUACUUCUCAAAGAUCAAACUUAUUUCCUCUCUAGCCACUGCAAUCUGCAUAUUAAAGAGACAACCCACCUACAUCACGUACUGGGAAGGUAAGGACUCUGCAAAACCAAGGAGCUCAGCAUACUUAUAUAUUCACUUCCAAUGGGACUAAAAUACAUCAUGGUAUGUGAAUGGAGUUCAACAUGGGUGACCACGUUUCUGUAAGGAAUAUUUGGUUUCAAGCAAAUAUUUAUGACUGUAUCCAACAGGGCAAAAACAGUGAUUAGUAAAUUCAUGAUAGCAACACGUAAAGUAAAUGCUACCUCUGAUCAAAGCACUGUGUAUGGAAAGUCCAAGAUUUUUUAGUCUUCUGCAAGGGAAAACUUGGCUCUAUUUUCACUUCCGUUGUUAACCUUAAAAUUAUCUUCUGACUAAGACAUUGUAUUCACCUUCAUUCUUGGCUUUGUAUUUUUUUUUUUCUAUACAAUGCCUCACUGGUCUAGCUCCACAAUUUAAAGGAAAAGAUUAACAUGAAAGGAAACUUGAAAUACAGUAAUGUGACAGUCAAAGAAAAGGUUGAUGCUUGUGCUUUACAAGUAGUUUCUGGGUCAUAAUGGGAGAUCUUUUUUUUUUUUUUCAUUCUUGGACUUUUUAGUGGUUGACUCUGUAGUUCUGAGUGUACAUUCCCCUUGCCCAUCCAAGUGUUCACAAAAGUUAAUGGCCAAUCCAUGAGCUUAUCAUCAUCUAUGUAGGAAACCAAACACUAAAAUGUUAUCUCCAUUUUCCUACUGUUUCUCCACACAGCACACUCUUUAUAUGUUAUUAUAUAUUUUUUAACUCUGCUCAGAACAUUUAUCCCUUUUGAAUCUGUGAGACAAAAUGGCCAUUGCUUUGCUGAUUGUCAGGACAGUUCAAACUUCAAAAAAAAAAAAAAUACAUCAAUCAGUUGAAACUCAUAGCAGUCUCAAUCAGAGAAAAAUGGAUUGAUUGAAAUGGCUGAUCUACUUUUCAAUUUUAUGGAGUUAUUUAGACAAGGAUUAUUAGCAAUUACCCAAAAUUACUUUCUUAGAGAUUGUACUGGCAUAGUAUCAUCCUCAAUAGGAUGUUCUUUUCAGUCUUUGCUAAACAUUAAGAUUUCUCUUGUAAAAUGUCGGUCACGG